AGAACGAACGCUGGCGGCAUGCCUAACACAUGCAAGUCGAACGAGACCUUCGGGUCUAGUGGCGCACGGGUGCGUAACGCGUGGGAAUCUGCCCUUGGGUACGGAAUAACAGUUAGAAAUGACUGCUAAUACCGUAUAAUGACUUCGGUCCAAAGAUUUAUCGCCCAGGGAUGAGCCCGCGUAGGAUUAGCUUGUUGGUGAGGUAAAAGCUCACCAAGGCGACGAUCCUUAGCUGGUCUGAGAGGAUGAUCAGCCACACUGGGACUGAGACACGGCCCAGACUCCGUACGGGGAGGCAGCGAGGUGGGGAAUAGUUGGACAAGUGGGACGGAAG
rnacentral:rRNA from 1 species